AGAGUUUGAUCAUGGCUCAGAUUGAACGCUGGCGGCAUGCCUUACACAUGCAAGUCGAACGGCAGCACGGGAGCAAUCCUGGUGGCGAGUGGCGAACGGGUGAGUAAUAUAUCGGAACGUGCCCAGUAGUGGGGGGAUAACUGCUCGAAAGAGCAGCUAAUACCGCAUACGACCUGAGGGUGGAAAGGGGGGGAUCGCAAGACCUCUCGCUAUUGGAGCGGCCGAUAUCAGAUUAGCUAGUUGGUGGGGUAAAGGCCUACCAAGGCAACGAUCUGUAGUUGGUCUGAGAGGACGACCAGCCACACUGGGACUGAGACACGGCCCAGACUCCUACGGGAGGCAGCAGUGGGGAAUUUUGGACAAUGGGCGCAAGCCUGAUCCAGCAAUGCCGCGUGCAGGAAGAAGGCCUUCGGGUUGUAAACUGCUUUGUCAGGGAAGAAUCCUCUAGGUUAAUACCUUGGGGGAUGACGGUACCUGAAGAAUAAGCACCGGCUAACUACGUG
rnacentral:rRNA from 1 species